rnacentral:tRNA from 1 species
GGCAACGUAGCCAAGUGGUAAGGCAGAGGUCUGCAAAAUCUCCACCCCCGGUUCGAGUCCGGGCGUUGCCUCCA